rnacentral:rRNA from 1 species
AGAGCGAACGCUGGCGGCAGGCCUAAUACAUGCAAGUCGAACGGAUCCUUCGGGAUUAGUGGCGGACGGGUGAGUAACACGUGGGAACGUGCCCUUUGGUUCGGAACAACUCAGGGAAACUUGAGCUAAUACCGAAUGUGCCCUUCGGGGGAAAGAUUUAUCGCCAUUGGAGCGGCCCGCGUCUGAUUAGCUAGUUGGUGAGGUAAAGGCUCACCAAGGCGACGAUCAGUAGCUGGUCUGAGAGGAUGAUCAGCCACACUGGGACUGAGACACGGCCCAGACUCCUACGGGAGGCAGCAGUAGGGAAUCUUGCGCAAUGGGCGAAAGCCUGACGCAGCCAUGCCGCGUGAAUGAUGAAGGUCUUAGGAUUGUAAAAUUCUUUCAGCGGGGACGAUAAUGACGGUACCCGCAGAAGAACGCCCGGCUAACUUCGCGCCAGCAGCCGC